CCUGGUGCGUUUAGCGCGGUGGCUCCACACCGACUCCAUCCCGAACUCGGAGGUGAAACGCCGCAGCGGCAAAGAUACUUUGGGGGCGACCCUACGGGAAAAUAGCUCCGUGCCAGG
rnacentral:rRNA from 1 species